UACGAAGGGUGCAAGCGUUACUCGGAAUUACUGGGCGUAAAGCGCGUGUAGGCGGCUUGGCAAGUCGGGUGUGAAAGCCCCGGGCUCAACCUGGGAAGUGCACUCGAAACUGCUUGGCUUGAGUACUGGAGAGGGAAGCGGAAUUCUCGGUGUAGAGGUGAAAUUCGUAGAUAUCGAGAGGAACACCGGUGGCGAAGGCGGCUUCCUGGACAGUUACUGACGCUGAGACGCGAAAGCGUGGGGAGCAAACAGG
rnacentral:rRNA from 1 species